rnacentral:rRNA from 1 species
UACGGGGGGGGCAAGCGUUGUUCGGAAUUACUGGGCGUAAAGGGCCAGUAGGCGGCCAACUAAGUCCGACGUGAAAUCCCAAGGCUUAACCUUGGAACUGCGUCGGAUACUGGAUGGCUUGAAUUCGGGAGAGGGAUGCAGAAUUCCAGGUGUAGCGGUGAAAUGCGUAGAUAUCUGGAGGAAUGCCGGUGGCGAAGGCGGCAUCCUGGACCGACAUUGACGCUGAACGGCGAAAGCUAGGGGAGCAAACGGG